rnacentral:lncRNA from 1 species
CUUUGCACCAGUAGUCCGUAUUUAAGAAGCUGUUAAGCUGAAUUUAUUCAAGGUCUCAUGCUAGAUUAUGUUGUUACUCUGCGUUCUUAGUUUGUCUGAAAUCUUCUAACAUUUCAAUAAUACUAUUAAUAUAAAACAGCAGAUGCGAUAUAAUUGCAAAUGAGACAACUCUCCACAAGAGCCCAAUUGACACAGAAAUUAAAAACCAUAGGUCACCACACGGCCUUCAACAAUGAGCAAAUCCCAUACAGCACAGUCAGCUUUAAAAGGUCCUGAUUGAAUGGCAAAUGUAAAACAAUUUAAACGAGAGAACUAACGGCCUUAUUAAUGUACAAAAAUGAACGAAAAAAAAACCCUAACACAUCGACAAACGACAACCACUUAAUGACAGGCUCUUGACUUAGGACAGGCACAUGCUUAAUGUGGCGUGUUUAACAUGUUGGUGGGAUCCAAACCCUCCCUUCCCUGUGACAGUGGUGUAACAUUACAACAUAAGAACGAACUAUAAGAAUCAGUUGACAAAGGCUGAACUCAUCAGAUGGAUACAAUCAGAAAUAAUACACAGAGUGUACGUGGCUGGGUACUUGUAUAUCCCAUGCAACAACCCAAAAAAAAAACCCCGUUUAGUUCAGAAUAUACAUUCGAAAAAGAAAAGAAAAACAAAGACAACCUAGAUUUCAAAAACACACACACUCUAUUACAAGAAAAAAUAAACAAACCAAUAAAUACUUAUGAGAAAACAGUAAAAGAAAAUAUACCCGAUAAUUGACAAAAACAGCCAAGAUUUAUUAACUCAAAGAAAGGAGUUUUUCAAUAAAACAUUUUUUUACAAAAAUAGAA